rnacentral:rRNA from 1 species
UACGAAGGGAGCUAGCGUUGUUCGGAAUUACUGGCGUAAAGCGCGCGUAGGUUGUCUGAAAAGUUGGGAGUGAAAUCCCGGGGCUUAACCCCGGAACUGCUUUCAAAACUGUUAGACUAGAGAAUGGUAGGGGAAAGUGGAAUUCCCGGUGUAGAGGUGAAAUUCGUAGAUAUCGGGAGGAACACCAGAGGCGAAGGCGACUUUCUGGGCCAUUUCUGACACUAAAGCGCGACAGCGUGGGGAGCAAACAGG